UUCGUAGUGACCUGCGGAAGGAUCAUUACUGAAUUGUCAACAAGAGUUGUUGCUGGUCCCCAAAUGGGGACACGUGCACGCUCUGUUAACACAUCCACUCACACCCUGUGCACCCUCUGUAGUUCUAUGGUUGGGGGGGGACCUGUCCUCUCCUGCUGUGGUUCUGCAUCUUUACAUACACACUGUAACAAAGUCUCAUGGAAUGCAUGCCGCGUUUAACGCAAUAAAAUACAACUUUCAGCAACGGAUCUCUUGGCUCUCGCAUCGAUGAAGAACGCAGCGAAAUGCGAUAAGUAAUGUGAAUUGCAGAAUUCAGUGAAUCAUCGAAUCUUUGAACGCACCUUGCGCCCUUUGGCAUUCCGAAGGGCAUGCCUGUUUGAGUAUCAUGAACACCUCAACUCUUCAUGGUUUUCCAUGAUGAGCUUGGACUUUGGGGGUCUUGCUGGCCUGCGGUCAGCUCCUCUCAAAUGAAUCAGCUUACCAGUGUUUGGUGGGCAUCACAGGUGUGAUAACUAUCUGCGCUUGUGGUUUUCCACCAAGUAACCUUCAGCAGUGGAGGUUCACUGGAGCUCACAGACGUCUCUCCUCAGUGAGGACAGCCCUUUGAAUGUUUGAUCUCAAAUCAGGUAGGACUACCCGCUGAACUUAAGCAUAUCAAUAAGCGGAGGAAAAGAAACUAACAAGGAUUCCCCUAGUAACUGCGAGUGAAGCGGGAAGAGCUCAAAUUUAAAAUCUGGCGUGCCUCUGGUCGUCCGA
rnacentral:rRNA from 1 species